rnacentral:misc_RNA from 1 species
GCUAGAAAGAUUGAAUUAAAAACCCGACCAGAUACACCCGACAUCAGCAACCUACAGAAGUGUGCAGAUUUUGCACAUGCUUUCAUGUUAGGUUUUGAUGUUAUAGAUGCUAUUGCUCUUUUGCGAUUGGAUGAGCUAUAUGUGGAAUCUUUUGAAAUCAAAGAUGUUAAAACUCUUAGAGGUGAGCACUUGUCUCGUGCCAUUGGAAGAUUGUCAGGUAAAGGUGGCAAAACAAAGUUUGCCAUUGAGAAUGCCACAAAAACAAGGAUUGUGAUUGCUGAUACCAAGAUUCACAUAUUAGGAUCUUUUCA